rnacentral:tRNA from 1 species
UCCGAAUUGGUGUAGUGGCUAACAUUUGACGCUCUCAUCAUACUCCAUAUGAUAGGAUCCGUCAAGCCCGGGGUUCGAUUCCCCGAUUCGGAG